AAUGGGUCAGCGACUUAUAUUCUGUAGCAAGGUUAACCGAAUAGGGGAGCCGAAGGGAAACCGAGUCUUAACUGGGCGUUAAGUUGCAGGGUAUAGACCCGAAACCCGGUGAUCUAGCCAUGGGCAGGUUGAAGGUUGGGUAACACUAACUGGAGGACCGAACCGACUAAUGUUGAAAAAUUAGCGGAUGACUUGUGGCUGGGGGUGAAAGGCCAAUCAAACCGGGAGAUAGCUGGUUCUCCCCGAAAGCUAUUUAGGUAGCGCCUCGUGAAUUCAUCUCCGGGGGUAGAGCACUGUUUCGGCAAGGGGGUCAUCCCGACUUACCAACCCGAUGCAAACUGCGAAUACCGGAGAAUGUUAUCACGGGAGACACACGGCGGGUGCUAACGUCCGUCGUGAAGAGGGAAACAACCCAGACCGCCAGCUAAGGUCCCAAAGUCAUGGUUAAGUGGGAAACGAUGUGGGAAGGCCCAGACAGCCAGGAUGUUGGCUUAGAAGCAGCCAUCAUUUAAAGAAAGCGUAAUAGCUCACUGGUCGAGUCGGCCUGCGCGGAAGAUGUAACGGGGCUAAACCAUGCACCGAAGCUGCGGCAGCGACGCUUAUGCGUUGUUGGGUAGGGGAGCGUUCUGUAAGCCUGUGAAGGUGUGCUGUGAGGCAUGCUGGAGGUAUCAGAAGUGCGAAUGCUGACAUAAGUAACGAUAAAGCGGGUGAAAAGCCCGCUCGCCGGAAGACCAAGGGUUCCUGUCCAACGUUAAUCGGGGCAGGGUGAGUCGACCCCUAAGGCGAGGCCGAAAGGCGUAGUCGAUGGGAAACAGGUUAAUAUUCCUGUACUUGGUGUUACUGCGAAGGGGGGACGGAGAAGGCUAUGUUGGCCGGGCGACGGUUGUCCCGGUUUAAGCGUGUAGGCUGGUUUUCCAGGCAAAUCCGGAAAAUCAAGG
rnacentral:rRNA from 1 species